rnacentral:rRNA from 1 species
UGGUGGAGUGAUUUGUCUGGUUAAUUCCGUUAACGAACGAGACCUCUGCCUGCUAAAUAGCCUUGUUAGUGGUUUUCACUGAUGGAGGCUUCUUAGAGGGACGUGCAUUCUAUUAGAUGCAGGAAGAUAGGGGCAAUAACA